rnacentral:rRNA from 1 species
UACGUAGGGGGGCUAGCGUUGUUCGGAAUUACUGGGCGUAAAGCGCGUGUAGGCGGCCAGAAAAGUCCGCUGUGAAAACUCGAGGCUCAACUUCGAGCUGUCGGUGGAAACUUUCUGGCUAGAGUCCGGAAGAGGAGAAUGGAAUUCCUGGUGUAGCGGUGAAAUGCGCAGAUAUCAGGAAGAACACCCGUGGCGAAGGCGGUUCUCUGGGACGGUACUGAUGCUGAGACGCGAAAGCGUGGGGAGCGAACAGG